UACGGAGGGUGCAAGCGUUGUUCGGAAUUAUUGGGCGUAAAGCGCGUGCAGGCGGCCAUUUAAGUCUGAUGUGAAAGCCCCGGGCUCAACCUGGGAAGUGCAUCGGAUACUGGGUGGCUUGAGUACGGGAGAGGGAAGCGGAAUUCCGAGUGUAGGGGUGAAAUCCGUAGAUAUUCGGAGGAACACCAGUGGCGAAGGCGGCUUCCUGGACCGAUACUGACGCUGAGACGCGAAAGCGUGGGGAGCAAACAGG
rnacentral:rRNA from 1 species